rnacentral:rRNA from 1 species
AACGAACGCUGGCGGCAUGCCUAACACAUGCAAGUCGAACGAGACCUUCGGGCCUAGUGGCGCACGUGUGCGUAACGCGUGGGAACCUGCCCUUAGGUUCGGAAUAACUCCCCGAAAGGGGUGCUAAUACCGGAUAAUGUCUUCGGACCAAAGAUUUAUCGCCUUUGGAUGGGCCCGCGUUGGAUUAGCUAGUUGGUAGGGUAAAAGCCUACCAAGGCGACGAUCCAUAGCUGGUCUGAGAGGAUGAUCAGCCACACUGGGACUGCGACACGGCCCAGACUCCUACGAGAGGCAGCAGUGGGGAAUAUUGAAGAAGGGGGGAAAGCCUGAUCCAGCAAUGCCGCGUGAGUGAUGAAGGCCUUAGGGUUGUAAAGCUCUUUUAGCCGGGAUGAUAAUGACAGUACCGGGAGAAUAAGCACCGGCUAACUCCGUG